UGAACCACUUCGGUGGGGAUUAGUGGCGAACGGGUGAGUAACACGUGGGCAAUCUGCCCUGCACUCUGGGACAAGCCCUGGAAACGGGGUCUAAUACCGGAUACUGACCACUGGGGGCAUCCUCGGUGGUCGAAAGCUCCGGCGGUGCAGGAUGAGCCCGCGGCCUAUCAGCUUGUUGGUGAGGUAGUGGCUCACCAAGGCGACGACGGGUAGCCGGCCUGAGAGGGCGACCGGCCACACUGGGACUGAGACACGGCCCAGACUCCUACGGGAGGCAGCAGUGGGGAAUAUUGCACAAUGGGCGAAAGCCUGAUGCAGCGACGCCGCGUGAGGGAUGACGGCCUUCGGGUUGUAAACCUCUUUCAGCAGGGAAGAAGCGAAAGUGACGGUACCUGCAGAAGAAGCGCCGGCUAACUACGUGCCAGCAGCCGCGGUAAUACGUAGGGCGCGAGCGUUGUCCGGAAUUAUUGGGCGUAAAGAGCUCGUAGGCGGCUUGUCACGUCGGUUGUGAAAGCCCGGGGCUUAACCCCGGGUCUGCAGUCGAUACGGGCAGGCUAGAGUUCGGUAGGGGAGAUCGGAAUUCCUGGUGUAGCGGUGAAAUGCGCAGAUAUCAGGAGGAACACCGGUGGCGAAGGCGGAUCUCUGGGCCGAUACUGACGCUGAGGAGCGAAAGCGUGGGGGAGCGAACAGGAUUAGAUACCCUGGUAGUCCACGCCGUAAACGGUGGGCACUAGGUGUGGGCAACAUUCCACGUUGUCCGUGCCGCAGCUAACGCAUUAAGUGCCCCGCCUGGGGAGUACGGCGCAGGGCUAAAACUCAAAGGAAUUGACGGGGG
rnacentral:rRNA from 2 species